AGUAAGAUGGCUGAGUUAUUAGGCAAUAAAUUGUAAAUUUAUUUACAGGUAUUAUACCUUCUUUCUA
rnacentral:tRNA from 1 species